rnacentral:lncRNA from 1 species
GACGUGAUUUGGGAAUGAGUGUGGUUGCCUAGGAUAUUCCAGAUAGUCAAGAGAUGACAAUGGAAGGGAGGGAAGCCAGGGUUCGAAAAGCAGCAACACUUACAGAGAUAACCCCUGGGCUCCUGAGAGCAGGGAUUGUGACUUACUCAUCUUUGAUGUAGCCAAGUUCCAACAAACCUAAAUGUGCAGAGCAACCCGGUGGCGGAGGGAGACCUUCGGCGGCGCGGGGCUCUGUGUGCGGCCAGCAUUGGUUGGCUCCCAGCUCUGGGUGUCUCGGGUCACCUGAGUGCAACCCGUGAGAAGAGACAAGACCACCCAGAAGAUAUGGCCAAGCACACCCCCGCUGAGGCUGUGUGCGGCUGUGCCCUGGGCAAAGCUGGCUCGCUUCCUAGUGGUCCGCCCUGCCAGUUAUUUCAUGGCAGCCUCUUCAUUUGUAAAAGGGCCUUAAUAAUAGCUAAUCACGGGUCGUCCACGAGGCCAGGCUGAGAUGAUGCAGGAGUGCAGCCAACACGGUGCCUGGCACGCGAUGCCGCUCUCGGUGGCCAAGUGGCCAUUGCUGAUGCUGUUGUCACUGUUGUCCCAUCCCCCUCACAGUACAACUGGCUCUCACAUGUAGGGGACGCAGAGCACAGCAGCGUCCUGAGCACCACAGGAG